UGCCGCAGCCAUAUCACCCUGCAGCCCAAGACCGGUUACUCACUGAAGCUAAGCAGGGCUGAGCCUGGUCAGUACCUGGAUGGGAGACCACUAGGGAACACUACGUUGCUGUUGGAA
rfam:Danio rerio chromosome 5, GRCz11 reference primary assembly.